CCACCCCCCGCGGGAGAGGGCGGAGGGGCGGAGGAGCGGAGGGGCGCAGGGAGCCUGCGCGCGGCCCGCCCCGGGCGCGGGCGGAGGGGAGAAGGCGGGGCGCGCGCGGCGGGCAGCCCGCAGAAGGCAGGAGCCGCGCAGGAGGACGGAGCGCCAGCCGCCGCGGGGCCGAGCCGAUCUGAUUUGUAUCCACUGUGAUCAGCACUCUCAACUAGGACUUUCCAGAUCCUGACCAGGACUGCAGAGUGACCAGAUUCCUCACAAGAAGGAGACGGUGAUUUUGGAUUCCUUGGUGGAGGAAAACAAAACCCUCUGGUCUUGCUUCCAAUGAUGCAA
rnacentral:lncRNA from 1 species